UCAGAGCAUUAUCUUGACAGUGCUACGUUGUAAUACAAGAUGAGAGGGCUGUAGGACUGCUGGGCACACGCACACACAAACACACACACUGAGUGGCCCGUGUGAGAAAAUGAAAAAGAGGCCAGUCAUGCCUGCUCAACAAGCCUACCUGGAAGAGAAAAUUGCUCCAAGCAGCGUCCAUUUUGCGCCACAGCGAGGGAGAUUAUAAAGUCAGCUCCUGAUUGUGAUCGAGGAGAGCAGCCUUUGCAUGGCUUUGAUCGGCCCACCGGUGAUCGAGGCGCAAACAGUCGCCUGUGCUGCAGCGGAAACGACGGGCUUCUGGAUUCGCGUGAAAAACGCCAAUCGGGUGUUUGUCGAAGCCUCGUUGUUGGAUUCAAGCCCUGACCCCGGCGAGCGGCGCUCUCGCCGGGCCGCAGCCUAUCGCUCCACCUCGGCCGUUCAGCUGCGAGGAUGUCAUCUUUCUUUUUUUAUCGCCCGCACUCCCUCCUCCCUCCCUGUCUCUUUCUUCCUUUUCUUUUUUAAUUCCUCUUUCUUCUCCCCCUCCUCUCCUUUUCUCGCACCGCUAUGUCCCACUUGCUCUUAAAGGGAUAGGGUUUCCUCUUUGGACACCCCCCUCUCAUUUCCGUCUCCCUCGGCGGAGCCUGUCCUCGCCCCUUCCUUCCUGGAGUUUUUUCGGCCGACGCAAAAUGGUCCUACGGUGUUUCCCCCGCCUUCCUCGGGCCAGCUGGAACAGAUCUCCUGCACCGCAGAAAACAGCCGGAAUGACUUUCCAUUAACAGCACAGAUGACAGACGCACCUUAAAGGGAGGUGCGCACAGAUCCUCCCAGUCGGCCUACAACAAUGAUGUCAGAGUCACACACACAGGACGAAAAGCAGCUCAGGAUACACACACACACACACACCAUAGAUGCGAGUCAGCAUUGCAUAAAUGUUUAGGGAAAAGUAAGUAGUGAGAAUCUAUAAUGGUAACCUUGAGCUGAAAUGAUUACUCGAUUAGUCAACAUAAACGAAAUGAUAAUUAGUUACUUAAAUUUGACUAAUUGUGAUUAUUAGUUUAUUUUUCUAUGAUUGUAACAUGAUUAUCCAGUUUUGACCCGUUAGUCAAAAAUAAGACAUUUUAAUAUGUCAACAUGCACUUUGGGAAUCUCCACCCCCACACAGACACUAUUUCCUGAAAUUUUAUGGACCAAAUGUUUAAUCGAUUAACCAAGAAAAUAAUUGGGAAUAUUGAUCAAUAAUUAAAAUAAUCUAAGGCUGCAACUAACAGUUAUUUUUGUUAUCAAUAAAUCUGCAGAUUAUUUUCUCUAUGAAUCACUUGGCUCAUGAAAAAUGUCCAAAGUUGACAUAUUAAACGUCUUGUUUUGUCUGAACGGUCAAAAAACCGUGUCUUAAUAUCAGAAGACAAAGAUAACCAGCACGUCCACAUUUAAGAAACUGGAACAGAUAUUUCUUGACAUUUUAAUUGAUUGAAAACAACUUAAAUGAUUAAUCGAUUGUCAUAUUAGUUGGCGAUUCAUUUUCUGAUGAUCAACCAAUCGAUUAACUAAUUGGUUCAGUUCUAAAAAUAAUGUAUGUCAUCUGAGUAAAGUACAUCAAAUCAAGACGAAUUAAUGUGUUAAUAUCAAUUUAUUAUCUUUUUUUAAAUUACUUUUUAAAGCACCCCAUUUCUUUUCCAAUACAUGUGUUAAGACCCUUCUUCCUUCUCCUCCUCAAGCUUGGAAUUAGCUUGUUUUGAAUAUUUAAUAAGGAUUUUAACCCCACCCCACCACACCCCCACCCCUGAAAACUCUGCAAAACACAGAUGAGCCUGCGUUGCUUCUUCGUCUUCAUCUUUCAUCCAGGCACAACACAGGGAUUCCCUGCUCUCGCCAUAACCUCUGACACUGACAACAACCCGUCUAAAAAAAAAAACAACACUACCACACUGAUUUCUCCGACACGAGGGCCGCCCAGAACCCGCCAGUCUUAGUUUAUAUAAGGAGUUUAUGCAUGCACUGAGAUUCCAACCAAGCAUAAAGUAGUAGGUUAUACAGGGAUUUGUCUUGAGCUGGUGUUUCCGAGUCAUACAAACAGCAGGGUGAUUAUCUUUUUUCAUUUUCUUUCAAUUUAAAAAUUAAAAAAUAACAACAACAAAAAAAAGUCCAGUUAUUUCUGAUCUCCUUCAAGUAAAUGACGGGAGGAAGAACCUCCUGAAGCAUCAUGUGCACCGUGCUCACGAAACACUGACUGGUGUCUUUAUCUGUGAGGACGGGCUUCUGCGGUCACGGCUGCUGUGACGGCACAAGAGGAUGGCCACGUUCACAGCAGCUCAGUCGACACCCAUCCUUUCACACUUCCAGCUUGUCUUCAGCAGUACGAUCAUCAACUAGGAUUGUGCGCGUCUCUCUUCAUCUCUUUGUUCCCCCCCAUGGUUCCUGUGAGAGGCUCUGUGAAACUUAUUCCUAAACUGAAAACAAAUAAAUAAAAAAAAUGCAUUUACAUUCCAGUGCCCAAUUGAAAAAAUCUUUUUUUUUUUCUUCCCAGAGUCCAGAGGAGGAGGUCAGAGUUCACGUGAACAGUGGGGGGCUUAACUGUUAUAGGAGUGUUGUUUGUUUUUGUCUAAAACAAUGUGGCAAUAUAACCAUACUUUACCGCUCAACACACACAUGAAUCAUUAACAAUUAUUAAUAAUUCAUUAUUAAUAAUCAUUAAUACCUUGAACACACACCAUACCGGAUAAUGCAACAGUUUUUUUUAAAAUCAUCUAUGUUUUUUUACAGUCAAAAGUGGGCUCUUUUCUUUUCGCAAGAAAAAUGUGAACAUGAUUACAACAACAAUUACAUCAGGAUUAGUUAUGGUAAUAUUGACACCUAUAGAAAAUGCAGUUGGAGUUGUCGCUCUAACUCUUGAAUUCAAUACUCAUUUGAAUAUAUCAAAAUUACUAUUAUUAUCUUUGUUACUCUAUAAAACCAAUGACUUGUUUUUUGUUGUUUUUUUUCCAAUAUACCCAUAAAUAUUUACAGUAAAGAUCAAAAAAUGUGGGACACGUGAUCUUGAAUGCCAGUGAAACUUGGACAGGUACGGUACAUUUCAAAUGUGUUUGGUCAUGUUUUACAAAUUUUUUUUUGUACAUCUAUCUCAUGCAUUGGAGUGACUCCCAUAGACACCUAUGUUGUUUAGAUACUCAAUAUGUCAUGGAUGCCAGAAAGCCUGUAUUUCCCCCUUUUCUUUUUGUAUUUGUACAUGUCCACACAAAUCUUUCUCCUCAUCCCAGCUGCAUUUUUAAAACUUAAGUCUCUUGGCCUUUACAAACAUUCUGUGUAUUCAUAUUCAGUUUUUAAAUCAUCUUGCAGUCAUCAAAUAAAAAUGUUGAUAGCGCGACAUCCCUUUAAGAACCCCUUAAAGGCAUUGGUGACGUUCCAAGCAA